GCAUGCAAAUCCAAAAGACUCGAACACGACAUCUUUUCCAGUCUUCCUCGGAAAACUGCCCAUAACGUGUCUCGGUUUCUCUCUCUCGCACAUGCACACAACCACAUUCAGUUAAAGGUCAUAGAGGAAAGAUCAGGAAUCGCAAGCAAUGAAAACGAAGAAGUACAAAAACAUAAACAGAGAAAGAGACCCAGAAGAAGAAGAAGCAGCUGAAACAGAAGGUACAGAUGAUGAAAUUAUUGUUUUGAGGGACCCAUUGGAGCUGUUUGGUUUGGACAUAAUGUUGAAUAUACUAAGCAACCUUGACGCACGCAGCGGAGUACUCUCCCUCCUUGUCUGCCAUGCUUGGAACGGCGUUGCUUGCAGUGAUCGCCUUUGGAGUUCCAAGUGUGAGGAGUUGUGGCUUGGGAAAGCACACAUGCCCCGGUUGUUGCAAGUUUGGGGAUUGUUGAGGUUGGCCGCUUAUUCAUUAUCUAUCGUGGAUGGAAAACGUUCACGCAUAAUGAGGGAUGAUUUGUGCGACCAUGUUUGGGAGUUUCAUUUCAACGAGGCCGCUCCUGAAUACUGGCGAAGGCUUGAUCCUUAUUGGAACGGCGCUGGCUCCCUUAUGCGCUGCUACUUUCAUCCUGAUGGGAGCCAAACUGCAGAUCAUGGUGAUCAAGUAUGGGGCAGCCAUGACUGAUGUUAUUGCACCGUUACAAGUCUUCUUGAAAAUGGAAAAAUAAGGGAACACUAUGUAAGGAUAAACAGAUGGCCACGAAUGUUUGUGUCCAGAAAGCAGGAUCGGAGCUGGGAAAUGUCCAGUCACCUCUUUUGCUACUCGAGCAUCCCAGACUUUGAUAAAGCAGGCGGAAAUGGACCGCUUUUUCCAGUUAGUAGUUCAAUAAAGCUUGAUUAUAAAGAGAGUAUGUGACACUAAGAUCCCAUCCCAGAAGCCACUAAGAUCCCAUCCCAGAAGCCACAGACUGGACCGCCAGCUACCCACCACCAUGUAACUCUAUGCUUGCCAGAUCAAUUCUAUACCGGAAACACCCAAUCCGUCAGUUCACCGUCCCAUUCCCAGUCACUUCUACGCUAAACGAACCAUCUAUUGGACUCAAUGUCCUGAUUGGCUCGUUAGAUGAUGAUGAUGCCCUCAAAACACACCACUAGAUGAAGCAUAAGAGAAGAUACCUGCAAUUUGGAGGGUCUUCUUAACCAAGGGCGAGGAGCAAGAGAAGGCAAAGAAAGAGAGCUUGGAGAUGCUGAGAGCCGUAGAAGAUCACGCAGGGACAACGUGCUGGCCUAUCUAUGAGAUUUUGCAACAGAUUCAUCCACUGUGCUUUUAACUUCUGUGAAGCUAUAUGGAGUACUGUGGUAUAGUCCAUUUAGUACCAGGGUGAUAUGGGCUCUGAAGCUAAAAGGCAGACCAUAUGAUCGAUCACAUAGAUCGAGGAAGAUCUUCACAACAAGAGAAGAGAAGCACAAGUACAACCCAGUUCACAAGAAGAUCUCAGUUCUUGUUCAUGGACAAAAGCCAAUUUGCGAGUCCAUGGUCAUCGUCGAAUAUAUAGAAGAAACAUAGCAGCAGUACCCCUUGAUGCCCAGUUGCCCACUGACCCUUGUGAGAGAGCCAUGGCUAGGCUCUGGAUUAAAUUUGCUGAAGAUAAGGUCAGUAUACAUAUAAUCCAUAAAUUUAUUCAUAUUGAUCGACUUACCAUUUGACCUUUCAAUUAAAUCAAAAAAUGUUUCUUUAAAAGUGCCAAAACAAGUUUAUGUAAGUUAUGAUUAAUUGUUUCACGUUCACCAACAUAUUAUGCUUACAGAAUGAGAAUAAAGA